AUACGUAGGUGGCAAGCGUUGUCCGGAUUUACUGGGUGUAAAGGGUGCGUAGGCGGGGCAGCAAGUUGGAUGUGAAAUCCUCGGGCUCAACUCGAGAACUGCAUUCAAAACUGUUGCUCUUGAGUGCAGUAGAGGCAAGCGGAAUUCCGGGUGUAGCGGUGAAAUGCGCAGAGAUCGGGAGGAACACCAGUGGCGAAGGCGGCUUGCUGUGCUGUUACUGACGCUGAGGCACGAAAGCAUGGGUAGCAAACAGGAUUAGAUACCCUGGUAGUCCAUGCUGUAAACGAUGAUUACUAGGUGUGGGUGGACUGACCCCAUCCGUGCCGGAGUUAACACAUUAAGUAAUCCACCUGGGGAGUACGGCCGCAAGGUUGAAACUCAAAUGAAUUGACGGGG
rnacentral:rRNA from 1 species